GGCGGGGCGCAGAGGAGCAGCCUGGGGGAGGGGCGGCUCCAGUCACGUGACACGACGGCGGUGUUUACACGCGGGGCGGCUGAGGCGUCCGGCCUCAGUCAGGCGCUCGGCUCCGUUUCGCUU
rfam:Erinaceus europaeus cont1.248868, whole genome shotgun sequence.